ensembl:lncRNA
AAACCAAACACAGCAGGGCAGGGUGGUCCCCACUAAGACACAGGCAUCCACGAGGGCCACUGGGGCACCAGAGAGGCCUCUAAAUAAGACCUGAAAUGGCAGAAGUAUGAAAUAACAGACAUCAUCAACCAAGACAGAAAAAUGGUUACAGAGGGUUCUUCACCUACUCACACCUGCAAAAUCCCUUUUGCCACAUCAAGGAUUAGCAUGCAUGGCUCCAGGGACUGGGACGUGGAGUGCUUAGGGGCCAUGAUGUGGCCACAUAGUGGCUCCGCAUGUUCUCUGAGCCUUUCCAGCUCUGGCCAGUGUUCCCUGGUCCAUCGGCUGUUCCCCAAC